UACGAAGGGGGGGCGAGCGUUUGUUCGGAUUUUACUGGGGCGUAAAAGGGGCGUGUAGGCGGCCCCGUCAAGUCGAGUGUGAAAAGCCCCCGGGGCUCAACCCUGGGGGAGGUGCGCUCGAGACUGGGCGGGGGCUGGGAGUUUCGGGGAGAGGGAGCGUGGGAAUUUCCCCAGUGUAGAGGGUGAAAAUUUCGUAGAUAUUUGGGGGAAAGAAACACCCGGUGGGGCGAAAGGGGC
rnacentral:rRNA from 1 species